UUUUCAUAAUGUUAGUUGGAAAAGUGGUGGAUAUUUAUUUCGAUAUUUCGCCACGAAAAGUUCGUAUUUUUGAAGGUAAGUUUUUAUAAUUGUUUUAAAUAUGAGUCAAAUUAACGAUUUUUGCUUUAUUUGGUGUUUUAACAACGUUUAGUUAUAUGUUAAUCGCAAUUUGUAUUGACCUGUUUUCCGGGUCAAUGCACAAGUGUCAAAAGUGACUUUCAAAACCGCUGGGGACAAUUGGGUUUAUAAAUGAGUAAAUUAAAUAAAAGACACGCCAUCGUAUUCAGGAAGAGUUGUUCUUUCUAUGAGAAGUUUAAAAAAUGAAUUGUCCCCAUCAAACUGACGAGUAAUCGCGGUUUGAAAAUGGGGCAUUUUCGGUAUACUAUGUCGCCCAUCGCGGGAAUAAUCGACCGCAUGGGAAUUAUGGCGCGAGGAAAAUUACUGUACGAGUCGUUAUUAUUUUUGUUUUAUUUCGAAGAAUGUGCAUAUAUGUCGAUCGUUGUUGAGUUUAACUGCUGCAUUUAAGUUAAAUACACUGUACUUUACCAUUAUUUUUAUAGAAUUCGAAUAUAUUUUGUGAAAAUGGAAUCUGAUGAUGGCAAUGUUGUUUAUAUUGUUGAUCCUAAGUAUGGGAAAAGUUGAACUUAUGAAUUUAAUGCUGAUUUAGAACUGUUAUUGAACAAACUGUUCCUACAUCCUGCUUUGGCAAAUGGUAUAACAUCUAAUCCAGUCAAGUUGUGCUCAUGAAUGGUCAACUGAUUCAAGCAAUGAAACUAUUGAACCAGAAUAAUAAGAGCAACCUGUUAUAUAAAUGUGCCCAUACCUGCCUUUUAAUAGAUACAUAUUUUAGUAGACAUUUUACAUAUAAAUAUUGGUGUAUUGGUGACAUGAAAAUGUUGCAAUGAAUCUUAAGUAUUUACUUUAUAUAUUGUAACUUUGAAUAAAGCAUUUUAUUAACAUCAAUUAUGUAUGACCACUGCAUUUAUGACCACCAAAUAUCAGGGGUGGAUUUACUGGGGGGGUGCACCCCCCACCUAGCCCUGACCAGAGGGUAUGCAGGGGGGGGGUAUUUUCAUGAUAAAGCAAAAAAUAUUAGAGACAAAAUUUGAGUAAUAACAUGAUAAGUAAACUGUUUGUUAACAACUACAAUACUGUAGUCAAGCAAGACUUUGCUGUAGUCAAGUAAGUUGAUGGGUGGGUGGCGCACAUGACUGACACAACUCGGCACCAGAGCUGGCAGAGUACCCUCCCUACCACAACAUACUGGAUCCAUCUUUAGAUCAGUGAUCCAUAUGUGCUAAAUAUACAACAGCUAAAACAGUGUUAAGAACACACGCACAAGGUGGACUAUAAGAUAAAGUAGGGAUUUGAUGACUGCAGUAAACAAACACAGCAAAUUGAGUUUGAAAACAUUUAUUUAUUUGAAAAAGGAAUGGUAAAAUUAUAUUUAACAAUUAUUCGCCGAAGCCAAGGUGAAUAUUCCCAGAUAAUCACAGAGCCUGAGGCAAAUAAUUGUUUUAGUAUUUUUGCACAAGUUUUUUUGUAUUUUUCUGGUCUGAAUUCAUUUUAAUUUCGCUUAUUUCUUUAUUACUAACUUCAACAAAACAGCUAGCCGCCAUUUUGAAAAUUUCGAUUUUGUUAUAAUAUAACAGAUUAAUACGUCAAAUUUG